GAUAAAGACAGACACAGAUAAAGGAUAAAGAGUGACACAAUCUGAGGUGGGCUCCAGGCUCUGAGCUGCCAGCACAGAGCCCGACGUGGGGCUUGAACCCACGAACCGUGAGAUCACGACCUGAGCUGAAGUCAGAUGCUUAACCAACUGAGCCACCAGGUGCCCCAACUUUUUUUUUUUUAUGUUUAUUUAUAUUUGAGAGAGAGAGAGCAUGAGCCCAGGAGGGAACAGAGGAUCCAAAGUGGGCUCUGCCCUGAUAGCCGAGAGCCCAGUGUGGGGCUCGAACUCACAAACUGAACUGUGAGAUCGUGAUGUGAGCCGAAGUUGGACACUUAACCGACUGAGCCACUCAGGCAUCCCCACGAACUAAUUAUAUUUUUAAAGUGUAUUUAUUUUGAGAAAGAGUGAGCAUGUACAUGUGAGCAGAGGAGGGGCAGAGAGAGAAUCCCGAGCAGGAUCCAUGCUGUCAGCACUGAGCCCCCUGCGGGGCUCAACAUCAUGACCUGAGCUGAAAUUGAGUUGGGACACUUAACCGACUGAACCACCCAGACACCCCAAUAGAUUCUUGUUCCGAUUUGUUUUAUGGGUAACUGGGUAGGUAUAGCUCUUCACAAGGGCUCAAGUGUUGGCUUUCCCAGCUAGCUGUGACUAUGGACAUCUUCCAGGUUCCACAGAAUGCCCUUUGAGAACAUUCACAUGCAGGGCUACUAAGGCUCAGUCAAGAUCCCUAUUUUUAUGACUGUUGGAAUUUGGACUCUGGUGAUAUUUCUGUGUGGACUCUCAGUUUCCUUUCCCUUGCCCCACCUUCUCUUCCCUCUCACUUUCCCUGCUCCCAGGGAAAUCAGCAUUUGUAAAUUGGUGGGUUUGCCAUAAUAGGAACACCCCCUGGGAAAUUUUGCCCCCGGGAGUGGGUUUCUGUGACUCCCGUGGACGGCAUGGUCACAGGCACAAAGGGCAGUCCGGCACACAUCUCACUUCUGGCUCGAGUCCUCAAGGGAGGCAUCACCAAACAGCCUCAAACCAGCCACUCUGCCAGAUGGUUCUCACCCACGCUCAGAACCAUAAGUAUUUCUGGCACUGAGCUGAACCGGAACUGCUCUGACAUAAAAGGAAAACUGUAGCCCACAGUCCGAGCCCUGACACGUGGGCUGUCAGGUGGGCUUGUGUUUGAGUCCUGGCUCCAGAACUUAACAGUUGUGUAAUUGUGGACAACUGAGACACGUGACCUCUCUGAAUCUUAGCAUCCUCAUAUCUCACAGGGAGGCUGGAUGCAUUGAGGUGAGUGCCUCUUGCAGUGCCAAGUGUGCAGAUGGUCCUGAAAUAGAACCAGCCCUGAACCGAUUGUGUGAGAGAGAGGCCUUAGUGCUGGAAAUCACCACUUUCAAGAUGGAGAAAUAAACCCAGGUUGGGAAGUUACUCAUCACCAUCACACAGGAAGGGAGCAGAGGUAGGACUGAGAAUCCAGGUGUCCUUGCUUCUGUCUCGCUGCCUUCUUCUACCUAAUCUGCACACUUUUCCCCAGCAGGGGCAGUGCUAAACACCAGGCCUUAAAUACGAAGAAAUAAAUUGCUAGUUUAGACACCAAGCAAGAGAGCUAUUUUAGGGCAGACAAGCUUUCAACACACUAUAAAUUCCAUCACCUGGGCAACUGCCUGGUUCCUUGGGCAAGGCAGCUCUCCGCCAUCUGCAUGCGUGGGCUUCCAAAUACGUGGUUGAGGUUUGUGACUUCUUGGGGCCUCCCCCUGCCUCUCCUCAGCAACCAUUGCCAUCUUCCAAAGAAUAGUGGGCAUGAUUGGGUGACAGGAGAUAUUGCUGAUAAUGUAAACAAGGUAGGUUCUGCCCCUCCAGGACUAAUAGUCCUCUGGGAGCAACAGCUAAGGCAAGCAAUGUGUCUAACACCACAGUCAUCUUUGCUCAAAACAAACCCCCAAAUCACUGGCACUUUUCCCCGUCCCCACUGAUUUGGCCCUAAAGUCUUUUUUUUUUUUUUUUUUUUUUUAGUUUAUUUUGAGAGAGUGGGAGGGGCAGAGAGAGAGGAGAGACUAAAUCCGAAGCAGGCUUCUUGCCCCAUGAACCAUGAGGUCAUGACCUGAGCCGAGAUCAAGAGUUGAAUGCUUAGCUGACUGAGCCACCCAGGCACCCCUGGCCCUAAAGUCUAGGGUGAAGAGGGCAUCUUAGGAGAAGGGCACAGGGCAUCAGAGCCCAAGUGGUGUGAAGACAGCAAACCCAUAGGGGGCUGGCCUGACUCAGGUAUCCAUCCAGAAGGAGGAAGGAGGGCAUCGCAUGGAGUGUCAGAACCUGAGCCCAGUGAAGUGAGUCUCUGUGUGAGACGAGGGGCCCAAUAUGGGAUCAUAUGGUAGGAGGGCACCUGUGGAGGGAUUGGAGAGAUGGAGAUUGGAAAGUGGUUACAUAUGGGGGCAUCGGUCAUGUAAAUUAAUGUAUGAAAGAUGAUAACCAGGCUUCUCACUGCCAGAGAAGGGAGUAACAAAUAAUGGGAAGAGUAAUAAAUAAUGGAAAUAGAAAACUAGAGUAUUGGAAUGGAGCUAGAGACAUUAGGGUAAACUUGUGGUUUUCAAUACACACACACACACACACACACACACACAGAUGUGUGUAUUUAUAUACAUAUGUAUAUUCCCUAGCUAUCUGCACUGAGAGGGUCUGGGAGCACCAACAGCCCAAGUGAGCAUACUUCAUGCCUAGAUUUUGGCUCCUAAGUACUAUUCUCCAGUAAAAUAAAUCAGGGUUCCUUGGAGAAAUAGCUGAUUCUAGAACCGGGGCAGGGGAAGUGUCAGCUUGGGAGAUCUGUGCUGGAAAGUAAGAAAGAGCUCAAAGAAUAGGGAGAUGUCAAAAAAAAAAAAAAAAAAAAACACCA